UUGUAAGUAACAAUAUUUACCAAGGCUUGAGCUAUACUAACCUGUUGUUUAGAG
rnacentral:snRNA from 1 species